AUAGUCACAUUCCGAUUAAUCGCCGUCACCACACACUGCGAGCUAUAAAGCCGGUCGUCGCUGGUCACGGUAAUUACUUGUCCAUCAAUAUAACCCCCGUGGAAUCAGCGUGAGUCUUAAUUGUAACAAUUUAUUCAGACAUAUCUUUUAGAACCAGUUUAUCAUCAGUCAGUGGAACGUCAAUAGAAUUAAUUAUUGAAAGAAGAAUGGCUUUGACAUUUACUCCUAAAAUAUUAUGUCAGUUUUCAUAUUAUGGCCGUGAGAAGAAGGACAUUAAUUUGAAAAAUAGAUUGGUAAUAAAUUCAACUGUAAGCACAAUUACAAUAUCACAGGAAACCUACCUCAACACACCGAGUUCAACACCGAAUCUGAUUUUGAACUAAAACUAGUGAAGAAGUAAAAAUUGUGAAGUACCAAUACAGCUUAUGUCCAGAAAAUUACUAGUUUGUCAUCCAAAACUUAUUUUUUCCCAAAUUAAUUGGUCAUGCACUAAAUAUACACAAUGCAUAAGUGCUCAUAAACAUUGAACAAAUGGUUGCUCACAGGCCAGUUUUUAGAUGGCACAAAAUAUUCACUCCCGAUAGAUGGCAAGGUGAAGUUACACAGUUACUGGCGAUUAUUAUUUGAAUUGAUUUAAUUAAGAAGUGGUGUAAUAAUAAUAACCUACAAUUAAAUUUAAGUAA